UGGAAGGUCCUAGGUUAGGGAAGUCUGCCAUAAAUUGAUUUUAAUUUUGUGUCUUGCCUUUUUAUCUAGUGAGGCACUUGAAGCAGCUAACAGAGACACACAAUAUAACUGAUGACUGAAUGAAACCUGGUGCAAAAAACCCCCCAGGAUAAUCUGCCAGCUAACUGAUCUUGUUUUCAUGUUUUCUCAAAAGAACAUCACGCUGACUGAUGUUGAAGGAGCCUGGAUUAUAGAUGACCCAAGGAUCCUCUGAGUCACUCAGACAAGCCUUUGCUUUGCCUUAAUACAGACGUGGCCUGCUCAGCUAUCAAGGCAAAGCAAAGUGCACCUGGUCCCUGGUCAACUUCAAUGGUUGGAGCAUUCUGCACUUUGAUAGCAGGUCCCACCAAAGCAUUGUCCAGGUGAAAGAAUCUCAUUUUUGCACACACAGAAAUAUACACAUCUGCACCUCCAGAAUUGUACAAUUCCAGGCUUCUUCAAGUUGGGCCUCAACCCAUCAGCUCCAAAUGGAUGCCUUUCCAGCGUGGUUCUCACCUGAGGCCUUCUAAAACAGAUCUCCCUGGACAGGGCCCAGUGUAACCAGUCCC
rnacentral:lncRNA from 1 species